rnacentral:rRNA from 1 species
UCGAGAAUCUUCGGCAAUGGGCGCAAGCCUGACCGAGCGACGCCGCGUGUGGGAUGAAGGCCUUCGGGUUGUAAACCGCUGUCCGUGGGGAGGAAAUGCUGGUGGGUUCUCUCAUCAGUUUGACCUAUCCGCAGAGGAAGUACGGGCUAAGUUCGUGCCAGCAGCCGCGGUAACACAAACCAUACGAACGUUAUUCGGAAUUACUGGGCUUAAAGGGUGCGGAGGCGGCUCGGAAAGGUGGGUGUGAAAGCCCUCAGCUCAACUGAGGAAUUGCGCCCAAAACUACCGAGCUCGAGGAAGACAGAGGUGAGUGGAACUUAGGGUGGAGCGGUGAAAUGCGUUGAUAUCCUAAGGAACACCAGUGGCGAAAGCGACUCACUGGGUCUUUUCUGACGCUGAGGCACGAAAGCUAGGGGAGCGAACG